rnacentral:rRNA from 1 species
UGGGGAAUAUUGCACAAUGGGCGCAAGCCUGAUGCAGCCACGCCGCGUGUGUGAAGAAGGCCUUCGGGUUGUAAAGCACUUUCAGCGGGGAGGAAGGCGAUAAGGUUAAUAACCUUGUCGAUUGACGUUACCCGCAGAAGAAGCACCGGCUAACUCCGUGCCAGCAGCCGCGGUAAUACGGAGGGUGCAAGCGUUAAUCGGAAUUACUGGGCGUAAAGCGCACGCAGGCGGUCUGUCAAGUCGGAUGUGAAAUCCCCGGGCUUAACCUGGGAACUGCAUUCGAAACUGGCAGGCUGGAGUCUUGUAGAGGGGGGUGGAAUUCCAGGUGUAGCGAUGAAAUGCGUAGAGAUCUGGAGGAAUACCGGUGGCGAAGGCGGCCCCCUGGACAAAGACUGACGCUCAGGUGCGAAAGCGUGGGGAGCAAACAGG